AGCAGUAUGGUGUAAUGUCGCACACCGGGUUCCUUCGGCAACGAAGUCUCAACAGGUUUAACGCGGAGGUCCUUGUUCAAAUCAAGGUGCUGCUC